GAGGCGCCCCCGACGUGACUGAUUUAACCAGCAGGGGCCGGGCUAAGGCAGCCGUGGCUGCAGGUUAAGCACAGCCACGGCGCGCGUGCCCGGUGCUGUCACCCGCUGUACUUCCCGUUCGCGCAGCCAGAGCAGCGGCCUGGGCGCGCGGAGGCGCGGCCGGCGGAGGCGGUGUCCGCGCCAGAUGACGCCGGCAGGGUUUCUCUUCACGCAGGGACACGUCCCUUGGUGUCCCCUUGGUGCUGAGAAAGCCAAAAUGUGUACGCCAGAGGCUGUGAAGUGGAAAGGGCACCGCGCAGGCGUGAAGACUGAACCAGCUCUGUGGCCUUGGGUGAUCAUAACUUCAUAAAUGUUUGAUCUUUUCAACUCCAGUGAUCACCUGGGACUCUCCUUUGCUCACCCACCCCAGAUCUUGAAACCUCAAAAUUCAUUCCUUGACCACAGUGCCCAUACCCACCCUUAUCUGAACCCUUUCUUCAAUAAAAUGGGUUUUUACCAUGCCUGAGUAGUGGGCUUUCUUUAGUGGUGUGUAUUUUACUUAGUGUCUAGGACAUCCCUUGAGUCAGUGUAGCACAGGGGCCAAGAUCAUGGCCUGUGUUUGAACCCUAAAACCUCCACUUGUUAGCAUGUGACUUGUGUCAAUUAUUUAAUCUCUUUUCCGUCUCUUCCCUAGAUAAUUAUAGUACAUACCUUGUAGUUUUAGGGAUCAAAUGAGUUACGUCAGAUGUUCUGCCUUUGACUCAAUGGCCUUCUGACAUCCUGAGAGGCUUCUUUAGCUCAGAGUUGAUCUCUUCCAGAAAGCUCUCCCUAAUCCCACCCUCCAGGACAAAACUCCCUCCUCUGCAGUGCUCAUUGCCUUGUGCAUACUGCUAUUGUCCUUAUCACAGAGAUUUCUUAAAUGCUCCCUUUUUAAGCUGUGAGAUGCUUGAAAAUAAAGACCUUCAUUUAAGGUGUCCAGAACAUACAAGGUAUUCAUUAGGUUUCCAUUCAUUUCUUUGUAUUCAUUAACAAUGUUUCAUUUUUGCAUUUAAGUUUAUUUUCUGAAUUAAAAAAGAAAACGGCCCCAAAAUCUUAGAAAGAUGCCAUAUUUCUUUCUGCACAGUAUUAAAGUAUUGAAUUUUUUUUAAACCCAGUACUUUGUGUUUUUUUAAACUUUUUUUUUUAGAAUAAAAAAAUUUUUCUGUUACGAAGGUUGCCAGAAUAAUACAUGGUUUGGAGAAAAAGUAUACAGAAUCAGGGAAAUACAUAAGGGCUGACAACGUUAAAUGUAGGAUAGGAUUCUAAGAUUAUUUUUUUGCCUGUUAACUAGUUGCAGAAUGCAUCACAGUAUAUCUACAUUUCCGAGAGAAGUACAGGUUUUGAUGUUUAGAAAUGAGUGCAUAUGCCAGCCAUCCAAGGUUAAAAAAGAAAAUCUGUAACAAAAUUAGAAGACUACAGAAAGCAGGAAAGAAAUACAUGUAUGGCAAAUGAAGGAUUUUUAAAUGGCUUUUACAAAUCAGUAGGGAAUAGACCACCACCACAUCAAAAGGAGCAAAGAGCAUACACAGAUUAACAUAAAGCAUUCCAUUUUACUAAGGAUUAAAAUAAAAUGAAAAUCACUCGAAUACUUUUUUCUUAUCUAUCAAACUGACAAAAGUUUAUUCUGAAACAAUUUCAAGCUUACAAAAAAGUGGAAAGAAUAGUAGAAAGAAUCCCUAUAUAAUCUUGGCUUAGAUUCCCUAAUUGUUGGCAUUUUACCUCAUUUGCUUUCACUCUGUCUGUCUUUGUCUCUGUCCCUCUCUUUAACUAUAUAGAUAGAUAGAUAUAGAUUAGUUACCACAGGUACUAUGACCAUUCUUGCAGAACUCUGUUUUUGCCUGGAGUUAAUCAUUGAUUCAUCUCUGUUAUUUGAUUUAUUUUCUUUUUUAAAUUAUAAAAGAUUCAUUUGCCUAGUUUCUCAUGACCACUUUUUUUUUUUAACAAAUGCCUCACGUCUCUGUUAACACACUUGUUGUAUACAAUAAUAUGUUCUACAUAGUCCAGGCACAUCAAUUGCAGUUCUUUUUUUCCCUAAGAACCUUCAUUCUGGAACUCUCUAAUCCCCUGUUCUGAUCUGAACUAGUCCUUGCUAGGCCCGCUGCACAGCUACCAGCCUGGGAUGUAACUGUACUCUGCUCUGUUAGAUCCCUGUUUCUUAAACUCUUACGUUCUGUGCCUUCCUCUUUCUUGAUUUUGGUUUAGUCCUUUGAUUGUGGUAGCACCUCCCCCAGAACCUUUUGGAGUAAAGGUACAGAGAGAUAAAUAUUUUGAAAUCAUGUGUAUCUGAAAUUGUUUUUAUUCUACCCUCAUACUUGAUUGAGAGUUUCCCUGGAUUGGUGUGGAAUUUUAGGUUGAAAAUAAUUUUCCUUUGGUGGGUGAGGGAUGGGUGAAAUAGGUGAAGGGGGAAAAAUCAGUGAGAAUGUUUGAUAUCUUAACCUGGCCCAUGGUUACAUAAGUAAAUUCACAUGUCACAAUUCAUCAAGCUGUGCACUACAAUUUGUGCAUUUUAUUAUAGGUACCUCAAUAUACAAAAUUUUAAAAUAAAAUUGAAAAAAUGAGAGAAAAAGAAAAUCAUUUUCCCUCAGAAUUCCAAAAGAGUUUGUUCCAUUUUCUUACUGACUUCUAGUAAUGCCAUUUUCAUUUCUAAUUUUUUGUAUGUCCCCUGCUUUUUUAGGACCAUCUUAGGAUCUUCCCUUUAUCCUUAGAGUUCUAAGUUGUUAAAGCAUGUAAGUUUAUAAGAUUUUUAAAAAUAUUCCCUUGUCUGAGCCUUUUUCCCCAUUCACUUUGUUGCUCACUCCAUGGGCCCUUUGAUCUUGAGACUCUUAUCCUUCCAGUGUGAGUUUUCUUGUAUUAUUUCUUUAUAAUUUCCUUCCCUCCAUAUUUGCUGGAUGUGUGGAUGUGGGAUUUUGGGGGUGGAUCCUCUAAGUUUCUUGUGCUUUCUUUCAUAUUUUUCCAUCUAUCUUUUUGUAUUCUGAGUUUUCAUCAACUACUUUCUAUCUUUUCUUCUGAAUAUUUAUUUUCAAACCUUCUAUUCUUUAAUAGCCAAGAGCUCUUUUCUCAUUUUGUUUAUUUUGCACCUUUCUAUUUAUUUUACACCUUUUCUUAUUUCAUGGGUAAAAUAUCUCUUCUUAUCUCUUUAGGGAUAUUAACUAUCCUACUUUUGAAGUUUUGUUUUGCUGUUUUCUCUAUUUUGCUUUCUCUUUCAUGUUAGAACUUUCCACUAACAUCUGGUAAUCCAUGAUUAUAUUUUAAGAUUUCAUCAUGAGGCACAAACAGGUGGUUAAUGGUUUCAUGUGCAUGAAAGGAGCUUAUCUGCUGGAGGUUCUUAGAGAUGAUCUGGCAGAGAACCAGCUGAUUCACUGAGGGGAGACUUCCUAGUGUCUGAAUCUGUGACCAUCCCAUUUUUUCCAAGGAAGGAUCAUUUCCUGACAACCAGCUGUCUGGAAGCAGGCUACUGAAGAAAAAAGGAGUAUUUGGGGCUGAGUCUUGGAGGAGUGAGGACUGGCCAGUGCAGGAAAGUCCGGGCUGAGAGAACAGCGCAUACCAAAGUCACAACAGGGUGAAACCACCCUCAUGACAAGUACUUCUGAUAUAUCCUCGUGGUUAGAAGUGUGGGUCACAAGUUAUUAUGGAAAUGCUCUCUGACAAAACAGCCCUUGGUGUGAGUCACUGGGGUGGUUUAAGACCAGGAAUGCUCCUGGGAAUGGUUUGGAGGAUAAAGUUUCAGUGAACUCAUUCUGGAGUUAAAAGACACCAGCUAGUUCAAUCCUACAAAGUUUACAAGAACUGGGAUUUUCCAAAUAGAACAAUACAACGACACCACUUCUCUCCCAAGGUCAGCAGGGUUUGGCCUCAUUUCAUCUUAAGAGCUUGUUCGCUCUGUUCUCCAACGUUUGACAGAGGCAGAAAAUCAAGCUAAGUCUAAAGCCGCAAUGCAGUUAAAAAAGAAUGAUCAACUUCCUAAAAGACUUUGUUGAUUAUGUUUUCCUAUCAUGUACCUUCACGGGGAAAAGAAAAAUCAACACAGUAUAAAUGUUAAUUCUGGACACACAGUAUUCUUGUGGCCAACCGAGCAGCUUAAUUAAACCACUGCCUUGAAUAGUUUGUGCUGAAUACUUGCCUGAGCCUUUUGUUGUCUUGGUGUAUUUGAAAAAGGGAUGCUUUUAAAUGGAGAUGCAGUGUUUUCAGAUACUCCUACUCUGACCACAAUACUGUAUUUCAGGUCCCCCAUUAAUUUGAGGAAAAAUUGCAGUAUGUAUUUUAAAACACUUCCUCUCCGUCAUUAGUUUUUUAAGGAUCUGCCAAAUUUCCUAUCACCAAAACAAACCUCUGGUUUAACCUAUCAACUCUUGAGUUUCUGCACUCUCAAGAGACCAAAGUCUCUCUUUUCUCUUUCAAUGACCCACAUUGCGGACCAUGGAACAGGUCAUUUUGAGAGAGCGUCCUGUGCCAGUUAACCAUGAUGAUGCCAGGACACUCUACCGGACAAUGAUGAGGUUAGCUACUACCUUUAACAAAUGAAUAUUCCUUUGUUCCAACAAUAGCAUAAUCAAAGUUUUUAAAAUAAGAUUUCUUGAUUUGUUUUGGGGAUUCAAAUGCUCAUUAGUUUCAGUAUUAGAUCUUAAAUCUCUAAAAAAAAAAAAGACCUGUUGAAGCUUUAGACCUUUAAGGACCUGUUUCCAAUGUACGGAUUUGUAGGUAUUUGUAGAUUUGUAGGUAUUUCUAAGCUCAAAAUUUUCAUUUCUCUUGGGACCAACAGUAACAUUUAGUGUUAAAGGUAAGGCCUUGGAACAGAAUUUUUAUUUGCCAGAAAGACCUGGAGCCAACCAGUCUCAGUACAGCCAUUGCUACUCCACAUUUAUUCACAACUGCUUUACAAUUCCAGUUGUGGGGAAAGGCCCUUCAUUCUUCGCUGGAGUAGAAAAUGGGACACUUUUCAAUAAAUGCCAGUCAAGAAAAGGUAUAAACAUGUCAAGUUAUUUUUAAAAACUUCUAAUUUAGCCAAAGUUGUAAAGGGAUAUAAGACGAAUGGCAUGCCUGAUUUGGAAAGAAUGGUACUUUACCUCUGUGGUCCCCAAAACACUUAACCCAGUUUCAUCAUGAGAAAACCUCAGACAGAUCCCAAGAGAGGGGCAAUCUACAAAAUACCUUACCAGUACCCUCCUCCUCAAAACUGCCGGGCAGGUCAUCAAAAAGGAGGGAAGUCUGAGAAUCUGUUAAUAGCCAAGAGGAGUUGGAGACGUGA